rnacentral:rRNA from 1 species
AGCUCCAAUAGCGUAUAUUAAAGUUGUUGCAGUUAAAAAGCUCGUAGUUGGAUUUCUGUUUCUAGCAAUCGGUCCGCUCGCAUGAGUGUGUACUUGUGUUGAUAGAUUCAUUUUUGUGAGGAUCCUUGGCUGGCAUUAAGUUGUCUGGCCUUGUGGACUUGCAUCGUUUACUGUGAAAAAAUUAGAGUGUUUAAAGCAGGCGUUUGCUCAUUUGAAUACAUUAGCAUGGAAUAAUGGAAUAGGACCUCGGUCCCUAUUUCGUUGGUUUUACGGACCGAAGUAAUGAUUAAGAGGGACAAUUGGGGGCAUCCGUAUUUCGUAGUCAGAGGUGAAAUUCUUGGACCUACGAAAGACGAACAACUGCGAAAGCAUUUGCCAAGAGUGUUUUCAUUAAUCAAGA